GCCGGGUGCAGUGGCGCGCGCCUGUAAUCCAAGCUGCUGGGAGGCUGAGGCUGGCGGAUCGCUUGAGUUCAGGGGUUCUGGGCUGCAGUGGACUGUGUCGAUCGGGUGUCCGCGCUAAGUUCGGUAUCGAUAUGGUGCUCCUGGGGGAGCUCGGGACCACCAGGUUGUCUAAGGAGGGGUGAACCGGCCCAGGUCGGAGACGGAGCAGGUCAAAGCCCCCGUGCCGAUCAGUAGUGGGGUCGCACCUGUGAAUAGACACUGCAGUGCAGCCUGAGCGAUACAGCGAGACUCAGACUUUU
ensembl:misc_RNA Metazoa_SRP Metazoan signal recognition particle RNA